rnacentral:lncRNA from 1 species
GUAAACUCUGAUCGCAGUUUUCUGUUUUACUGAUCCACCUUUUAUGUGAGAUUACAACAAAGGAAACGGGGCUCAUGGCCUCCGGACUGUGCGCCACUCCUCUCCACAACGUUCGUGCCAUCCCACGAACAGAUUAGAGGGCGCAGGACUCGGACUCGAUCGCUGCCAGACGAGCUACUCCCGCGGCAACGCUAACUGACGAAACUGAAGAAACAAGCACCUGAGCUAUCUGAACUAACUGAAACUCUGAACUAACUGAAACUGAACAAGCAAGGUUUAUUCUAACAAUCUCCUCCUAAGCCUUGCUGUUCCUACCUUAUUUUGACGAUUCCAAUCUUGCUCCUCAGCUCCUGAAACUUGAUCUUGCCCAACGGCUUUGUCAAGAUGUCUGCGAGCUGAAGGGCAGUGCCGAUGUAGUCCACCGCGAUCUUCUUCUCCUCCACACAGUCCCUGAUGAAAUGAAAUCGCAAGUCUAUGUGCUUACUGCGAUUAUGAUGGACAGGGUUCUUGGCGAGGGCGAUUGCAGAUUUGUUGUCCAUCUUCAGAGUGGGCACACCAGCUUCUCUCCCCGUCAGAUCCUUCAGGAGACGAGUGAGCCACACACCAUAGCACGCCGCCGCCGUGGCGGCCAUGUACUCGGCCUCACAGGAUGAAAGCGCCACCACUUUCUGCUUCAGGGAUUGCCAUGAGACCGGACUGUCACCGAGGUACUAGAGGAGACCAGUGGUGCUCUUGCGUGUGUCUGGAUCGCCUCCCAGGUCGCUGUCGCUGUACCCGGACAGAACAGGGCUACCGCUCCUCCGGUAGCUGCAGCCGUAGUCGAUCGUGCCGGCGAUGUAGCGUAGGAUGUGCUUGACCGCCGUGAGGUGCUCCGUUGUUGGUGCUUCCAUGAACCUGCUCACAUACCCGAUGGCAAACGAGAUGUCUGGUCGAGUGUGAACCAGAUACCUAAGACUGCCGACGAUGCUUCUGUAGUCGCUGGCGUCCGUUGGUGGAGCCUCGCUGUUCUUGCUCAGUUUGAGCCUGGGCUCCAUAGGCGCGUGGCAGGGGUUGCAGUCCAGCAUGUCCGCCUUCUCCAGAAUCUUGCACGCGUACGCAGCUUGGCCGAGUGUGACCCCGUGCGCGCUUUGGUGCACCUCGAUGCCGAGGUAGUAGGUGAGUAGGCCCAGGUCGCUCAUGCGAAACUUGGCCAUCAUCUCCCCCUUGAAGCUGCGGAUGUCGUCGUCGCUUGGUCCGGUGAUGAGGAGGUCGUCGACGUACACGCCCACCAGGAGUCCGCGUCGGACGUAGACCGCGUGCUCUGAGCCGCUCCUGACAAAGCCCAGAGCAGCGAGCGUGGCGUCCAGCUUGGCAUUCCAAGCCCGCUGUGCUUGUCGUAAGCCAUAGAGUGCCUUCCUCAAUUUCAGCACCUUGUGCUCCUCUCCUGCAACGACAAAACCCGGCGGCUGCCGGACGUACACCUCCUCUGCCAAGUCGCCGUUGAGGAAGGCAGACUUCACAUCCAUGUGAUGGACGCGCCAGCCUUCCUGCGCGGCGAGUGCGAGCAUCAGACGCACCGAGUCCAUGCGAGCGACCGGCGCGAAUACCUCGUCGAAGUCGAUGCCCUCCUGCUGGACGAAACCUCUCGCCACCAGCCGUGCUUUGUACUUGGUCACCACUCCGUCCUCGUCGCGCUUGACCUUAAACACCCAUUUCAAUCCAAUGGAAAUGUGACCUGGGGGAAGAUCAGUGAGCUCCCAGGUUUGAUUCUCCUCAAUCGAGCCUAUUUCCUCGAUCAUGGCCUUUUUCCAGCUCGGCUCGUGCUCUGCUUCAGAGAACGAGGACGGCUCCUCUGCAGAAGUGAGCAGCAGCUCCUCCUCCUCAUCCAGGUCCGGACCGAACAGAUCCGACACACGCCGGAAGCGCAGAGGACCGUGGGCAUCCACGGCUACAUCGUGCAUCUCCGAGCAUGGCGUUGGUGGCGUGACGUAGGUGAUCCGUGGACUGCUCGCCGGAGAUGCUGAAGUUGUUGCUGAGCUGGGCGUCGCGGGCUCAGCAUAUGUUGGAGAUGCUCCUGUUGCAGCUGAGCGGGGCGUCGCGGGCUCACUGCGUGUUGGGGACGCUGCUGCCGCUGCUUCUGAUGCGCCGCCCGCCGUUGCUACGGCUGCGUUCUCUGGCUCGGGCGUCACUCCGGCCGCACCAGGAGACUGACGCGGCGGCGUGUUAGGCACAAUCCUCCCUGCCAUUGCAGGGACGCGACGCACCUCGUAGUCGAUGGUGAAGGCGUUGGUGCCCGCAGCGCGUUCCUCCGCUUCCCAGUUCCAGUGCGCCCCCUUGUCGAAGACGGCGUCGCGCGUCACAUGGACGCGCCCACCGAUCGGGUCGAAGACACGGUACGCCUUGCUGCCUUCCUCGUAGCCGAUGAACACCAUCGGCGUCGAUCUGUCGUCGAGUUUCUUCAGGUGCGGGCGCACGUUCUUGACAUGUGCCACACACCCGAAGGUGCGGAGGAAGUGCACCGCAGGACGCGUCCCAUGCCAGGCCUCGUAGGGAGUCAUGCCGCGCACGCUCUUCGUGGGCGCGCGGUUGAGGAGGAAAACGGCCGUGGUCACCGCUUCCCCCCAGAACUUGGCGGGCAUCGCCGUCGCCUUCAUCAUGCUCCGCGCCAUUGACACCACCGUCUGGUUGCGCCGCUCGACCACCCCGUCCUGCUGGGGUGAGUAUGGGGCGGUGAGCUGCCGCUGCACGCCUCGAUCGGCGCAGUACUCGCCAAACUCGAUGGAGGUGAACUCGCCGCCGCGAUCAGUGCGCAGCGCAUGGAGCUUGCGCCCUGACUCGACCUCGACGCGCUCUUGGAAGCGACGGAUCGCGUCCGACGCCGCGUCCUUGCUGCUUAGUAGUGUCAGCCACAUGAACCUGGACAUAUCAUCAACGAGGAGCAGGAAAUAACGACGGCCAGAAGGAGUCGCCGGAGAGAUAGGGCCACACAAAUCGCCGUGUACAAGCUCCAGUGCAUGCUCGGCUCGAUAAUUCGCCGCGUCCGGGAAUGAUGCACGGCGCUGCUUGCCUGCCAGGCAGAUGUCGCAAAGCUGAUCGACGUGCUCGACCGCCGGCAUGCCGCGCACCAUGCCCUGUCGAGCCAGCAUCUGAAGGGAGUUGAAAUUCAUGUGCACGUACCUUGCGUGCCACCGCCACGCCUCGUCGGAGGUCGCACGUGUCGCCAAGCACACCAGCCUGGCCAGCUGCAUGUCGUAGGGGUAGAGGCGAUUGCGAGCUCUGGACGCGCGAGCAAACACAGUGCCGCGCCGAUCACUCAGUGUGAAUAUGCCGUCGACGAUCUCCGUCCGGCAGCCGCUCUCGUCCAGCUGCCCGACGCUGAUGAUGGAGCUGCGCAGGCGAGGGAUGAAGUAGACGCCGGUGAGGACGCGGUGGCCCCCGUUGCUGUCGGUGAAGAGGACGGAGCCGCGUCCGUGAAUUGCCACGACCGAUCCGUCCCCGAACUUGACUGUGCCAGCGACGCGGCGGUCGAGCUCGUGGAAGCACGCCACGUUGCCUGACAUGUGGUUCGAGGCGCCGGUGUCCAAGUACCACUUGGAGUCGUACUCCUCCGUGCGCCCGAGGUGAACCUCGGCGUGCUCUUCGACGAGCUCGACGUACUCGUCGACGCGCUCGCCGUCAUUGGUGAUGGUGCACACCUGCGCCAUGAGGAGGGCUGGAUCUUCAUCAUCUGCGCCUUCUGCCUGAGUGAGGUUCGCAGCCUCCCCCCUCUUCUUCUUGCGAUAGUCCUGAGCCCAGUGGCCGGGGAUACUGCAGUAUCUGCACUUUUCGUCGGCGGCCUUUCCGUUGCCGCGCCCACCGCGGCCACGUCCACGGCCUCUGCCGCGCCGACCGCCGCCUCGCGGCGCGUUGCUGCUUGAGCCGCCCCGCCCCUUGAGGUGUGCAGCCCACUCCUCCUCCGUCAUCAGGAGCCGGCCGACGCCGGUCUCAGCCUGCUCGAGAUCAUACCUCUCCUCAGCGGCCUUGAGCCGCCCGAUGAGCUCUUCCACCGACAGUGUGUCCAAAUCGACGAGAGUUUCAAUGGAGAGCGCGAUCUGAGAGUACCUCUUGGGGACGACGGAGAGAAACUUGCGCACAACCCACUUCUCGGGCACAGUUUCUCCGAGUUGUGCCAUCUGGGCCACCAUGUUUGAGAUCCUCAUGGCGAAAUCAUCGACGGUCUCGCCGUCGGCGAAGCGGAUGUCGUUGUAUUGCUUGGAGAUGGUCGCGAGCUUAGCCUCGCGGAUGCGCGCCACACCUAGACACAUCGUCUUGAAAGUGUCCCACGCCUCCUUCGCCGUGGCCUUGCCGGCGAGGGUGGGCGCCAUCUCCGGUGGCACCCCGCGCAGGAUUACUUCAAGCGACAGUCGGUCGUCGCUGCGCUCCGCCGUGCCCGUCUGCACGGCGUCCCAGAGGUAGCGGCCCUCCAUCAUGACCUGCAUGAGAACGGCCCAGUCGGUGUAGUUGGUUCGGGUCAGCUGCGGCCACGUCGCACCGCCGAUGUCGCGCGCCAUCCGCGCCGUGGGUCUCUCGGCCACGACAAGCUCGUUGCCGUCGGAGACCCGUGCCCACGGAGUGGCCGGCGACUUGCUACCACUGGAGUCGUCUGGGCCUGCCAUUCCCACGAUCAAGAACCCGCUCUGAUGCCAAUUGUCGGAGUUGAGACGACGAUCUAGUGAAGCGAGGUGGAAGACGAGGUUUUUGCCUGCGUAAACUCUAAUCACAGUUUUCUGUUUUACUGAUCCACCUUUUAUGUGAGAUUACAACGAAGGAAACGGGGCUCAUGGCCUCCGGACUGUGCGCCACUCCUCUCCACAACGUUCGUGCCAUCCCACGAACAGAUUAGAGGGCGCAGGACUCGGACUCGAUCGCUGCCAGACGAGCUACUCCCGCGGCAACGCUAACUGACGAAACUAAAGAAACAAGCACCUGAGCUAUCUGAA